CCUCCCGUGAAAUUGCUUCAAAGUGAAUACGAAUGGUUGCUUUCUUGAUGUUUGGUUCGUGCUUUAUGGGAAUGGUCUUUUCAGAGACUGGAAUGAUAAUUGUUGGGCAAGUGUUCUAUCUUUGCUGCUGAACUCUUGGCAACUUAUAAUCGUUUAAGAUAUUGAUUUGAGAAUCCCACGGAUGUGAUAACAUAGGCGUUAUGGAAGCUAUAACUGAUUGCAUCAUCUUAUUCAGGAUGCUUUGCUUCUUUACUCAAGGCUGUUUCUUCCCUUUUACAAGCGGUUCUAAAAGUUAAAAGUCACACGUAUCCCUAGAGAAUCUACUGCCGACUGGUUAGUGGACUUCGCGAAGGAUGUCCCUAGAGGCGUCGAUGUUCUGGCUUCUCCACUAGAGUUGCUGCCUUGGCUUCAAAAAGGGAUGUAGUUGGAGUUAUCUCUCUGACGUUAGUUUUUGUUUUUUUGUUGCCUUGUAUUCCUUUUAUUAUCCCAAGCAAAAAGCAAAAGUCAUAAUCACUAGGAAGCUCUUAUUGUUUUAAAAAUGAAUUAUAUACUUGAUGUUUUGUGAAUUAUUAAUUAUAUAUGUUAAUCAGUAUUUAUUACAUUAAAUAUUGAGCAAAUGAUUGAUUGUAUAGUUAUUUUAUGUUUAAUGUACUUCCUCUAUAUUUAUUUUUUCACCAUUAAAUUAAAUCGAGAUUUAUUAGUUCAUAUAAUAAUAAUUGUGAAUUAUAGGUUAUAUGGUGUGUGUAUAUAUGUAUUACAGAUUGUUGAUGCAAUUAGAUGCAGAACUAA
rnacentral:lncRNA from 1 species